UCGGGAAUUUUGGGCAAUGGGCGCAAGCCUGAUCCAGCCAUGCCGCGUGGAUGAUGAAGGCCUUAGGGUUGUAAAAUCCUUUCGCCGAGGACGAUAAUGACGGUACUCGGAGAAGAAGCUCCGGCUAACUUCGUGCCAGCAGCCGCGGUAAUACGAAGGGGGCUAGCGUUGUUCGGAUUUACUGGGCGUAAAGCGCGUGUAGGCGGGUCGUUAAGUUGGGGGUGAAAUCCCGAGGCUCAACCUCGGAACUGCCUUCAAAACUGGCGACCUGGACCUAAGUAGAGGCAAGUGGAAUUGCGAGUGUAGAGGUGAAAUUCGUAGAUAUUCGCAGGAACACCAGUGGCGAAGGCGACUUGCUGGACUUAUGGUGACGCUGAGACGCGAAAGCGUGGGGAGCAAACAGGAUUAGAUACCCCAGUAGUCCCUGAGCGGGCUGGCAAGGCGCAU
rnacentral:rRNA from 1 species